GACGAACGCUGGCGGCGUGCUUAACACAUGCAAGUCGAGCAGUAAGGCCCUUUCGGGGGUACACGGGCGGCGAACGGGUGAGUAACACGUGGGUGACCUGCCCUCAGCUCUGGGAUAAGCCUGGGAAACUGGGUCUAAUACCGGAUAUGACCUCCUAUCGCAUGGUGGGUGGUGGAAAGUUUUUUCGGCUGGGGAUGGGCCCGCGGCCUAUCAGCUUGUUGGUGGGGUGAUGGCCUACCAAGGCGACGACGGGUAGCCGGCCUGAGAGGGCGACCGGCCACACUGGGACUGAGACACGGCCCAGACUCCUACGGGAGGCAGCAGUGGGGAAUAUUGCGCAAUGGGCGAAAGCCUGACGCAGCGACGCCGCGUGGGGGAUGACGGCCUUCGGGUUGUAAACCUCUUUCGACCUUGACGAAGGCCUUCGGGUUGACGGUAGGGGUAGAAGAAGCACCGGCCAACUACGUGCCAGCCGCCGCUGUAA
rnacentral:rRNA from 1 species